rnacentral:piRNA from 1 species
CAGUGGUGGAAGAACGGUCUCAG